rnacentral:rRNA from 1 species
UACGUAGGGCGCAAGCGUUGUCCGGAAUUAUUGGGCGUAAAGAGCUCGUAGGCGGCUUGUCACGUCGGGUGUGAAAGCCCGGGGCUUAACCCCGGGUCUGCAUUCGAUACGGGCUGGCUGGAGUGUGGUAGGGGAGAUCGGAAUUCCUGGUGUAGCGGUGAAAUGCGCAGAUAUCAGGAGGAACACCGGUGGCGAAGGCAGCUCGCUGGGACGGUACUGACGCUGAGACGCGAAAGCGUGGGGAGCAAACAGG